rnacentral:rRNA from 1 species
GACGAACGCUGGCGGCGUGCCUAACACAUGCAAGUCGAGCGGGAUCCAUCUGGUGGCAACACCGGGGAAGAUCUAGCGGCGAACGGGUGAGUAACACGUGAGAAACCUGCCCCGAACUUCGGGAUAACACGGGGAAACCCGUGCUAAUACCGAAUACCCUCUACCGGUCGCAUGGCCGGAAGCGGAAAGAUUCAUCGGUUCGGGAGGGUCUCGCGGCCUAUCAGCUAGUUGGCGGGGUAACGGCCCACCAAGGCAUCGACGGGUAGCUGGUCUGAGAGGACGAUCAGCCACACUGGGACUGAGACACGGCCCAGACUCCUACGGGAGGCAGCAGUGGGGAAUCUUGCGCAAUGGGCGAAAGCCUGACGCAGCAACGCCGCGUGCGGGAUGAAGGCCUUCGGGUUGUAAACCGCUUUCAGCAGGGAAGAAAAUGACGGUACCUGCAGAAGAAGCCCCGGCCAACUACGUGCCAGCCGCCGCAGUAA